GACCAGAUCCCAGAAGCUACCACCACUCUAGAAAGGUGUGGCCCCACAGGAAAGAAUCCACACCUCACAGAACAGUCCGGAGGGGAUAGGAGGAGAGAGUCACUAAGUAAUGGGGAGGGCAGGGAUUUGGCGAGUGGAGAGGACGAAGCACUCAGUCUUCUCCCCUAGGAGGUAGGGCAGACCUCCCAUCAGAUUGGUGCCUAGGGCAGUGUUAGCGCACUUGGGUAAAAGCAAGCAGCCUCCAUGAGCCCUUCCACAACUCUCUCCUCCCUCUCGCAGUGGGAAACAGCUGGAGGCGCCUGAGGAGGCUGUGGGAAAGACUGUCAACUAAUGAACCUGCUCCAGAGAAACUCCAUGGGGGAGAAAGAAAGCAAACCCUCUGCUAUGGGGACCUGAAAGUAGAAGGCCUCCAUCUCCCCAUCUGUUUGAUGGUCCCUUCCAUUUCUGAUAUCUGAGGAUUUUUUAAAUGUUGGAGAUAGAGGUAAAGGAAUCCAUGGGAGAGAAGAAAAGGAUUAAUGAAAGCCAGCCUGCCACCACAAUAAACGUUACAGAUUUAACCGGCAAGAAUCCUGUGACCUUUUCAGCCUGGCAGAAUCCCCGCUCCCACCCCAGAGCAGGCCCAGCCUUCAGCUGCUCCUUAUGGAAGAAAG